AGGCCAUGAUGGGGACACUUGCGUAAUAGCUCCUUGAACCUUUCCCAUGUUUCAUAUAAGGAUUCCCCAUCCUCUUGUGAGUAUGUAUUAAUUUCAGCCAUUAAUUU
rnacentral:snoRNA from 2 species